GAAAUGCGAUAAGUAGUGUGAAUUGCAGAAUUCAGUGAAUCAUCGAAUCUUUGAACGCACAUUGCGCCCCUUGGUAUUCCAUGGGGCAUGCCUGUUCGAGCGUCAUUUGUACCCUCAAGCUCUGCUUGGUGUUGGGUGUUUGUCCCGUCUCCGCGCGUGGACUCGCCCCAAAGUGAUUGGCAGCCGGCGUACUGGUCCCGGAGCGCAGCACAUGUAGCGCAAACGAGUGCCUUGGUACGGCGGCGUCCAUAAGCCCCUCUCUCACGCUCUUGACCUCGGAUCAGGUAGGGAUACCCGCUGAACUUAAGC
rnacentral:misc_RNA from 1 species